AGAGUUUGAUCCUGGCUCAGAAUGAACGCUGGCGGCGUGGAUUAGGCAUGCAAGUCGAACGCGAACGGGAAUCUUCGGAAUCCCUAGUAGAGUGGCGAACUGGUGAGUAGCGCUUGGGGAACCUGCCCUUGAGUGGGGAACAUGUCCGAAAGACGUAAAUCCCGCAUAACAUCUUCCGCUCGCAUGGGUGGAAGAUCAAAGGCGCCCUCUGAUUCAAGGUGCCGCUUAAGGAUGGCCCCGAGUCCUAUUAGCUUGUUGGUGAGGUAACGGCUCACCAAGGCGAUGAUGGGUAGCUGGCCUGAGAGGGUGGUCAGCCACACUGGGACUGAGAUACGGCCCAGACUCCUAAGGGAGGCAGCAGUCGAGAGGCAUCCGCAAUGGGCGAAAGCCCGACGGUGCGACGCCGCGUGGACGAUGAAGGCCUUAGGGUUGUAAAGUCCUGUCACAGGAGGGAGAACAACACCCAUCUUAAUAGGCUGGGUGUCUGACGUUGCUCCUGGAGAAAGACCCGCUAACU
rnacentral:rRNA from 1 species